rnacentral:rRNA from 1 species
AGGGUUUGAUUAUGGCUCAGAUUGAACGCUGGCGGCAGGCCUAACACAUGCAAGUCGAGCGGUAGAGAGGUGCUUGCACCUCUUGAGAGCGGCGGACGGGUGAGUAAUGCCUAGGAAUCUGCCUGGUAGUGGGGGAUAACGCUCGGAAACGGACGCUAAUACCGCAUACGUCCUACGGGAGAAAGCAGGGGACCUUCGGGCCUUGCGCUAUCAGAUGAGCCUAGGUCGGAUUAGCUAGUUGGUGGGGUAAUGGCUCACCAAGGCGACGAUCCGUAACUGGUCUGAGAGGAUGAUCAGUCACACUGGAACUGAGACACGGUCCAGACUCCUACGGGAGGCAGCAGUGGGGAAUAUUGGACAAUGGGCGAAAGCCUGAUCCAGCCAUGCCGCGUGUGUGAAGAAGGUCUUCGGAUUGUAAAGCACUUUAAGUUGGGAGGAAGGGCAUUAACCUAAUACGUUAGUGUUUUGACGUUACCGACAGAAUAAGCACCGGCUAACUCUGUGCCAGCAGCCGCGGUAAUACAGAGGGUGCAAGCGUUAAUCGGAAUUACUGGGCGUAAAGCGCGCGUAGGUGGUUCGUUAAGUUGGAUGUGAAAUCCCCGGGCUCAACCUGGGAACUGCAUUCAAAACUGUCGAGCUAGAGUAUGGUAGAGGGUGGUGGAAUUUCCUGUGUAGCGGUGAAAUGCGUAGAUAUAGGAAGGAACACCAGUGGCGAAGGCGACCACCUGGACUGAUACUGACACUGAGGUGCGAAAGCGUGGGGAGCAAACAGGAUUAGAUACCCUGGUAGUCCACGCCGUAAACGAUGUCAACUAGCCGUUGGGAGCCUUGAGCUCUUAGUGGCGCAGCUAACGCAUUAAGUUGACCGCCUGGGGAGUACGGCCGCAAGGUUAAAACUCAAAUGAAUUGACGGGGGCCCGCACAAGCGGUGGAGCAUGUGGUUUAAUUC